UCCUGACACAGGGAGGUAGUGACAAGAAAUAACAAUACAGGGCUAUUUUAGUCUUGUAAUUGGAAUGAGUACAAUUUACAUCUCUUCACGAGGAUCAAUUGGAGGGCAAGUCUGGUGCCAGCAGCCGCGGUAAUUCCAGCUCCAAUAGCGUAUAUUAAAGUUGUUGCAGUUAAAACGCUCGUAGUCGGAUUUCGGGGCGAACCCGCCGGUCUGCCGUUGGGUAUGCACUGGUGGGCGCGUCAUUCCUUCCGGAGACCGUUCCUACUCUUAGCUGAGCGGGGACGGGAGACGGAUCGUUUACUUUGAAAAAAUCAGAGUGUUUCAAGCAGGCAUUUGCUCUUGCAUGGAUUAGCAUGGGAUAAUGAAAUAGGACUUUGGUGCUAUUUUGUUGGUUUCGAACACCGAAGUAAUGAUUAACAGGGACA
rnacentral:rRNA from 1 species